CUUAGUGGCGGACGGGUGAGUAACGCGUGGGUAACCUGCCUUGCACUGGGGGAUAACACUUAGAAAUAGGUGCUAAUACCGCAUAAGCGCACGGUCCUGCAUGGGACAGUGUGAAAAACUCCGGUGGUGCAAGAUGGACCCGCGUCUGAUUAGCUGGUUGGCGGGGUAAGGCCCACCAAGGCGACGAUCAGUAGCCGGCCUGAGAGGGUGGACGGCCACAUUGGGACUGAGACACGGCCCAAACUCCUACGGGAGGCAGCAG
rnacentral:rRNA from 1 species